rnacentral:rRNA from 1 species
AUUGAACGCUGGCGGAAUGCUUUACACAUGCAAGUCGAACGGCAGCACGGGAGCUUGCUCCUGGUGGCGAGUGGCGAACGGGUGAGUAAUAUAUCGGAACGUAUCCAAUAAUGGGGGAUAACUAGUCGAAAGAUUAGCUAAUACCGCAUACGCCCUGAGGGGGAAAGCUGGGGAUCUUCGGACCUAGCGUUAAUGGAGCGGCCGAUAUCUGAUUAGCUAGUAGGUGAGGUAAAAGCUCACCUAGGCGACGAUCAGUAGCUGGUCUGAGAGGACGACCAGCCACACUGGAACUGAGACACGGUCCAGACUCCUACGGGAGGCAGCAGUGGGGAAUUUUGGACAAUGGGCGCAAGCCUGAUCCAGCCAUUCCGCGUGAGUGAAGAAGGCCUCGGGUUGUAAGGACUCUGUUGGGGAGGGACGGAACGGGCGGCCGAUGAAGAGUGG